rnacentral:rRNA from 1 species
UUGAACGCUGGCGGCAUGCUUUACACAUGCAAGUCGAACGGCAGCACGGGGGCAACCCUGGUGGCGAGUGGCGAACGGGUGAGUAAUAUAUCGGAACAUAUCCGGGAGUGGGGGAUAACGUAGCGAAAGUUACGCUAAUACCGCAUAUGCCCUGAGGGGGAAAGUGGGGGAUCGCAAGACCUCACGCUUUCGGAGUGGCCGAUAUCGGAUUAGCUAGUUGGUGGGGUAAAGGCCCACCAAGGCGACGAUCCGUAGCUGGUCUGAGAGGACGACCAGCCACACUGGGACUGAGACACGGCCCAGACUCCUACGGGAGGCAGCAGUGGGGAAUUUUGGACAAUGGGGGCAACCCUGAUCCAGCCAUGCCGCGUGAGUGAAGAAGGCCUUCGGGUUGUAAAGCUCUUUCGGACGGAACGAAACGGUGGAGGCUAAUACCUUUCAUCAAUGACGGUACCUGAAGAAGAAGCACCGGCUAACUACGU